GGUGGAGCUCAGUGAUUAAAGCGCUUGCCUAGCAGGCAUGAGGCCCUGGGUUCCAUCCCAGCACC
rnacentral:tRNA from 1 species